rnacentral:lncRNA from 1 species
AAAUAAGGCCACUGUCUUGAGUUCAAGGAGGAUUGCGGAUGAUGGCGCCUGGGAUGAUGGCACGAGCCUGGAAUCCCAGCACUGGAGAAACCAGAGCAAGAGGAUCUGAAGUUUGAGGCUUCGGCAACUUUGCCCUCCACCUGGCUUAGAGACUGCUCCAGCUCUGCCUGCAGCUGGGAAGGAUUUUUUUCCUACUUGAAAGGUUUUCCCUCCCACCUUUGUGGCAUGAAGUGGAAACUUAAGGGUUCUUUGGGAAGUCAGUUGUGUUGGAUGGUGUUUUGCUAAAGCAAGCACGUGAAGGAACGUUUCUCUGAGGCAGACACAGGAGAAAGGAUGUUCUACUAAAGCAAACCGGUGAAAGGACGCACGAUGAAGGAUUCUUUGAUAACGACACACAUGUAUUGGUCUGCUUUACGUUGUGUUGUGACUCCAUAGAAAGAGACGAACCAAAAAACUUCUGAUGGUGUGCCAAGGCUUCUUUGUUGCUUCUGUGGACUGGGGCCGAUUGGCAGAGUGACGUCAGUUGAAACGGACUCACGUGCUGAGACAAGACACAUGGUGAGGCAAGACCCAUGGAGGAGAUGUGAUGUGUGGAGGGAUUAUAAAUAGGACUCAACAGAUUGUGAGGGGGGCUUGGUUUGCUGGUAGAGCUCGCUAUGCAAUGCUCAUCGGGCUUGUUGGGCUUGAAUCGCCACUGAUCUUCGCUUCUCUGAGAGAACUUCUGGUUCGAAUCCCUCCUGCUGACUCAUGCUGAUUCCACUGCGGCCUAGCUGGUCUUUUUAGUUAUGCCACCGCUGCUGCUUCCCCGACACUACUGAACGGGACUGCUGGUGUAUCCGAGAAGUGUUUGAGAGUGGAUUGAGCUGCCACUGCUGACCUGUGAACUGAACUGCUGAUUUCCUGACAAUGCAGAUGGGAGUUGCUCCAAAGAACCUUCUAUAAAUAGAUCCACUUCCCCUGGCUUCAGGACAGGUCCCAGGGUCCUGAGUGUGGGUGAGCAGUGACCUCAAAAAUGCAUACAGGACUGGAGACGUGGCUCAGUGGUUAAGAGUGCUUGUUGCUCCUCCAGAGGACCCAAGUUCCAUCCC